rnacentral:lncRNA from 12 species
ACUUCAAACCCAAAUGCAUUUGGUCUCGAGGCACGUGCUCCUUCCCCUACAAGAUUCAGGGUCCCUGAAGCAAGAGAAUCUAACAUUUCUACCAGAAAGUGAUUUCCUGGCUGUUUCAAUUUCAAAGACUCCCACCCAAGCAACAAUGAUAAAGCAAAUGACUUGUAUUCAUGCGACACUGUACAUAGCGUCUUUUGAGUCCAUUAUCCUCUCAAGGCCAAAGAACCACCCUUUAGAGUAAACAGGGCAAGAUUUCUAUCCUCACUUUACAGAUAAAGAAGCCAAUUCUCGGAGAGAUUGUGUGAUCGAGGUUGCUGAUCUCUCCAAUACAGGGCAGGACGAUAAUCCGGGCUUCCGGGCCCCUGGAGAGACCUGUCACCACAAUAGCUCCCUCGAUAUCUUGUGUGGACAGAUGGGCAAAUCCAGACCCAGGUGGGGGGCGCCACCCUCUACACCCGGCCUGCAGAGGAUGGAACUCAGAGGCCCCCAGGCGUGAUGCUAGCUCACGGCACUUGCAUACCUAUGACGGUACAUCCAUGGCCCCUCCCACCCCCGGACAGCCUGCAUUUUAACUUGAGUCACAUACUAGCACCUCCCACAUAGGCUCCGGUAGGCAGCCGUGUGCUCUGACGUCGCCUGUACUCUGGUCUGUGUGUAAGGCUUUUAGGCCCAGCCCUGACUGCGUCAUGGUUCCUGGACUUCCCUGUAGCCUCCUGGACACAUCAAAGUCAGCUCUUGGAGCUGGGAGCCUCAGCAAGGCCAGGAGAAGGGGGAGGGACCGGGGAGGGCAGCCAGGGGCCUGAGAACUGUCCCAGGGCACAGCGUGUGGAUGGCAGCGCUGGUUCCCUGGGGCCUGUGACCAGAUCCCUAUCAGGAAAUUCCACCAAGUGCCCCCCUGCAGGUACCAGUACCAGCCACACGCCCCAUGUGCACCGGGUCCUCCACACGGAGGGCGCCGUGUUGGGGGAAGCCUAUGCGUUGUGGGCUCAGAUGGCUGGGGAGGUGCCCGACAGCGAAGAGCUUUUUAUUUCCAAGCGUCUCCUAACGACCUCAGGCUCUUGGGGCCUAGGAAGGUCCAGAAUUGCCCAACAGCCUUCUGGAGAAUGCUCCUCAGUCCCUCCCUUGUACCUGCUGGCCCCCUGGCCCCUGCCUCUCCACCUUGCUCUCAGCCUCCCACCACGCCCUGCUCAGGUAUCUGCCCCAGAGUCUGCUUGGACACGUGGGGAGGCCUCCCCUUCUUGCUGGGGUCCAUCCAAGCCCAGCUUUGGGAAGAGGAGUCCCAGCUCCUGCCCCGAUCUUGCCUCUCAGGGUCCUGGGCUCGAAGCCCAGCCCGUUUCUGCCCUCCCCGUUCAGCUCUGUACCCAGCUGCUCCUUGAGUCCUCACCCUGGGCUCCCAGACCAGCCCUCAGGAGGAGGCAGACUGCCCUCACCUUCCUUCCCGGUUUGCACGUGCCCGUAUAG